UAGGGAAUAUUGCUCAAUGGGCGAAAGCCUGAAGCAGCAACGCCGCGUGUGCGAUGAAGGUCUUCGGAUCGUAAAGCACUUUUCUGAGAGAUGAGAAAGGACAGUAUCUCAGGAAUAAGUCUCGGCUAACUACGUGCCAGCAGCCGCGGUAACACGUAGGAGGCGAGCGUUAUCCGGAUUCACUGGGCGUAAAGCGCGUGCAGGCGGUUUGGUAAGUUGGGCGUGAAAGCUCCCGGCUCAACUGGGAGAGGUCGUUCAAUACUACCAGACUAGAGAGCAGAAGAGGAAGAUGGAAUUCCCGGUGUAGUGGUGAAAUGCGUAGAUAUCGGGAGGAACACCAGUGGCGAAGGCGAUCUUCUGGUCUGUUUCUGACGCUCAGACGCGACAGCUAGGGUAGUAAACGGGAUUAGAGACCCCGGUAAUCCUAGCCGUAAACGAUGUGAACUUGGCGUUGGUGGCUUAAACACCAUCAGUGCCGAAGCAAACGCGAUAAGUUCACCGCCUGGGGACUACGGCCGCAAGGUUA
rnacentral:rRNA from 1 species